ensembl:lncRNA
UCUGGGUGAUAGGCUGCUUCCUGAGAUGGAGUGUUCUAUAGCCAGGGACCCACAUCACCAGUUGGGUAUCAAUUGUAUACCUGGAAGAGACAGUCCUACAUUAAGAUCCCUUUGCCUGGGGAAGGAGGACUUUUCUAGUCAAAAGGAAAUACAACUGUAGAUGAAGUCACGCAGACUGGACUCCUUUUGAGAACUUCCUGCCUGCAGAUGAAGCUGCUCACCAAGAUCUGGACGAGGUGAAGCAGCAAGGAGCAGUUCUUGCUCAAUGGGGAUGGGCUCCAGGAAGGACCAGGAUGUAGGACCUUGAACCAGAGAGCCUAGCAUCCAGCUCCAGGGUAUCUGGUGAUGCCUGGGAUGCUGCCCUUAGUGGAUCACCCCAAAAGCAGCCUGAUGAGGAGGUAUUUUUAGGACUGGUUUUGGCAGAGGGAGCCAUGCGCACCCUAUGUGCCUUGGCAGCAUCCAGCCAGGAUAGGAUUCAGGAGUUUCCCAAUAUUUGUACCACUUGUAACCACUCACAAAUCAAAAGCCCUUUUGUAGGAAACAACGUUCUCACCUUUUGGUCUUCAAGCCAAAAAGACAUUCCUUCAGCACUAUAAUUCUCCAAGAAUUUUCUCUGCUUUCAGUGGUUAGGGGAGAAGAUUUUUGACAGUGUUUGUGCUCGUUCCUCUUCCACUCAGAUCUCAUGAAAGCUCAAAGCACACAAAAUUCCUCUCUGCUUCGCUGCAAACAGCUUUACAGCCUCGUGCACGUCCCACCCCAGCUAAUCACACCAUGGCCAAUGCAUUUCUGCUGUCUUUGCACGUUCCUCCAGAGCAGUUGUCUUCCUGAGCCUGGUGCCAGGAUGCGGCUGUGUAAUGAGGUGAAACACAUUUGGACACCCCUCUCCCUGUUUCUAUGCUUUUGGAGAGGUGAGGACACAGUUGCCGGACCACAACCAGACAACAUCCGUGUGGGGAAGCAUUGGUGGUGGAGAUACCUUGCAGAGCUCUGCAUCUCCACGGAGUGCCCACCACCCACCUGAGACUGGAGAGUACGUGUGUGUUGUUAACGGAUGCAUUUAAUUGUUCACUUACUCCAAAUUUCAAUCUUUUUUUCUUUCCUGUAUUAAAAGACAGAGGAAGUGGUCUCUUUGCACCAGCUGUGAAAAUUGUUGCCUUACUAUCCAGUGACUUAGCAAAUAAAACCACUUAGAGUAACUUGUCCUCCUGGCAUGAAUAGUUAUCAAGUUACUAUAGAACACCAUUACUGUUGCUGUCUCCUGGGGAUGCCCCAGUCUCUGUAGGCACAGUAAUGACAUGUUCCUUUUGCUUGCCUCUGGCACAGCA